rnacentral:rRNA from 1 species
AUAAGUGAACAAGCGGAAGGAUCAUUAUUGAAUACGUGYGGGUUUCUGAUGCUGGCUCUUCACUGAGCAUGUGCUCGUUCCCUUCUAUUUAUCUUCUCUUGUGCACCUUUUGUAGUCUUUGAAGAAGUAAACCUYUUCGCAGCAAUGCGGUUUGGGGGCRUGGUACAAUCUGCCUCUGCUUGCUUUCUUCAAGGCUAUGUUUUCAUAUACACUAUAAAGUUACAGAAUGUCUUUUAACGAUUGUGCUAGUCGCAGUCAUUAAACCUAUACAACUUUCAGCAACGGAUCUCUUGGCUCUCCCAUCGAUGAAGAACGCAGCGAAAUGCGAUAAGUAAUGUGAAUUGCAGAAUUCAGUGAAUCAUCGAAUCUUUGAACGCACCUUGCGCCCUUUGGUAUUCCGAAGGGCAUGCCUGUUUGAGUGUCAUUAAAUUAUCAACCUUGCUUGCUUUUACURGCUYGCUCGGCUUGGAUGUGAGGGCUUUGCUGGCUUCCUUCAGUGGAUGGUCUGCUCCCUUUAAAUGCAUUAGUGGGAUCUCUUGUGGACCGUCACUUGGUGUGAUAAUUAUCUAUGCCAGUUGACUUUGAAGCAAAAUUAUGGGAACCYGCUUAUAACCGUCCGCAAGGACAACUCUUGACAUUUUGACCUCAAAUCAGGUAGGACUACCCGCUGAACUAAGCAUAUCAAUAAGCGGAGGA